rnacentral:rRNA from 1 species
AUUGAACGCUGGCGGCAUGCUUUACACAUGCAAGUCGAACGGUAACAGGCCUUCGGGUGCUGACGAGUGGCGCACGGGUGAGUAAUGCAUCGGAACGUACCCAGAGGUGGGGGAUAACGCAGCGAAAGCUGUGCUAAUACCGCAUGUGAUCUGAGGAUGAAAGCGGGGGACCGAGCAGCAAUGUUUGGCCUCGCGCCUUUGGAGCGGCCGAUGUCGGAUUAGCUAGUUGGUGGGGUAAAGGCCUACCAAGGCGACGAUCCGUAGCUGGUCUGAGAGGACGACCAGCCACACUGGGACUGAGACACGGCCCAGACUCCUACGGGAGGCAGCAGUGGGGAAUUUUGGACAAUGGGCGCAAGCCUGAUCCAGCAAUGCCGCGUGCGGGAAGAAGGCCUUCGGGUUGUAAACCGCUUUUGGCAGGAACGAAACGGUGUCCGCUAAUACCGGGCGCUAAUGACGGUACCUGCAGAAUAAGCACCGGCUAACUACGCG